AUUUCAUCUCACCUGCGAUUGUUCUCCGGCGGCAGAACGCUCCAGUCCUGCUCGUAAUACGGAUACAUGGUGGCUUCUCACUGGAGCACGGAACUAAACCGACUGGAAUGGGAGCGGGAGUGCGUUGGUUAACAGGCAACGCUCUGCUUUUCUGUAGCUCUAGGUCUAGCUAUCUAGCCCUAACUGGCGGCCGAUCAUUUCCAGUCCGAGCGGUGGAAACUCCUGCGGAAGACUGACGAUUCCAGUGCCACUCACCAGGUGUUGAUUUUCUUUUUUUUUCCUCUGCCUUUGCUUUUUGGUGGCACACACAGCACUUAUCUAUCGGCCGGGCUGAUAAUGGUAAUAAUGCUCCCCGCGCCGUGAGAACAACACAAUCCCGGCUGGUUGUUUCUUUCGCGGUUCGUUUUCAUUCGGUACGGAUAAGCGGAGCCCCAUUGACAACCGCCAUAUCGAGGUGUAGUGCGAGUGCAGUGCUGUUAGAUAAAGCCGCAACUCUCCCGACUUUGGUGGACCUCGAAUCGCCCACACACUCUUUGGCUAACGAUUCACCAUGACAGCUGCGAAUGAAUUUAGUUUUAUUAAAUUUUCGGGACCAAAAUACCCAAGUAUCUGGGUUAUUAAUAGAGAAUUCCAAUAAUUAAAAGCGAAAUUGUAAUAAAUAGAUUACAUAUAAUCGAA